rnacentral:rRNA from 1 species
AUUCCGGUUGAUCCUGCCAGANGCACUGCUGUUGGGGUCCGACUAAGCCAUGCGAGUCGAUGGGCCUCGUGCCAUGGCGGACGGCUCAGUAACACGUGGCUAACCUACCCUCGGGUGGGGGAUAACCUCGGGAAACUGAGGAUAAUCCCCCAUAGGRAAARRUGUCUGGAAURAUCCUUCCCCGAAAGAAUAAUGCGCCCGAGGAUGGGGCUGCGGCCGAUUAGGUAGUUGGUGGGGUAACGGCCCACAAGCCUACGAUCGGUACGGGCCCUGAAAAAGGGACCCCGGAAAUGGGGACUGAAACACGGCCCCAGGCCCUACGGGGCGCAGCAGGCGCGAAACCUCCGCAAUGCCCGAAAAGACCGGGGGGGGACCCAAAGUGCCCACCGCACUGCGGUUUUUUUUCCCGGAGUGUAAAAAGCUCCGGGAAUAAGGGCUGGGCAAGUCCGGUGGCAGCAGCCGCGGUAAUACCGGCAGCCCGAGUGGUGGCCACUUUUAUUGGGCCUAAAGCGUCCGUAGCCGGCCCAGUAAGUCCCUGCUUAAAUCCUACGGCUUAACCGUAGAACUGGCAGGGAUACUGCUGGGCUUGGGACCGGGAGAGGGCGGGGGUACUCCGGGGGUAGCGGUGAAAUGUGUUGAUCCCCGGAGACCACCUAUGGCGAAGGCACCCGCCUGGAACGGGUCCGACGGUGAGGGACGAAAGCCGGGGGAGCGAACCGGAUUAGAUACCCGGGUAGUCCCGGCCGUAAACGCUGCGGACUACGUGUCGGUAGGCCUCGUGCCUACCGGUGCCGAAGGGAAGCCGUUAAGUCCGCCGCCUGGGAGUACGGUCGCAAGACUGAAACUUAAAGGAAUUUGCGGGGGAGCACUACAACGGGUGGAGCCUGCGGUUUAAUUGGAUUCAACGCCGGGCAUCUUACCAGGGGCGACGGCAGGAUGAAGGCCAGGUUGACGACCUUGCCAGACGAGCCGAGAGGUGGUGCAUGGCCGUCGUCAGCUCGUACCGUGAGGCGUCCUGUUAAGUCAGGUAACGAGCGAGACCCGCGCCCCAUGUUGCCAUUNCCUCUCCGGGGGAGGGGCACUCAUGGGGGACCCUGGCGCUAAGCCAGAGGAAGGAGCGGGCAACGACAGGUCCGCAUGCCCCGAAUCCCCUGGGCUACACGCGGGCUACAAUGGCUGGGACAAUGGGACGCGACCCCGAAAGGGGGAGCGAAUCCCCUAAACCCAGCCGUAGUUCGGAUCGUGGGCUGUAACUCGCCCACGUGAAGCUGGAAUCCGUAGUAAUCGCGCCUCAUCAUGGCGCGGUGAAUGCGUCCCUGCUCCUUGCACACACCGCCCGUCACGCCACCCGAGUUGGGUCUAUGGUGAGGCCCUGGCCACUGGCUGGGGUCGAACCUAGG